CCUGGCGGCGUGCUUACCAUGCNAGUCGAACGGUGAUCUUGGGAGCUUGCUCCUGGGUGAGCAGUGGCGAACGGGUGAGUAACACGUGAGUAACCUGCCCCUGACUCUGGAAUAAGCGCUGGAAACGGCGUCUAAUACCGGAUACGAGACGCAACCGCAUGGUUAGUGUCUGGAAAGUUUUUCGGUCUGGGAUGGACUCGCGGCCUAUCAGCUUGUUGGUGAGGUAAUGGCUCACCAAGGCAGUGACGGGUAGCCGGCCUGAGAGGGCGAUCGGCCACACUGGGACUGAGACACGGCCCAGACUCCUACGGGAGGCAGCAGUGGGGAAUAUUGCACAAUGGGCGAAAGCCUGAUGCAGCGACGCCGCGUGAGGGAUGACGGCCUUCGGGUUGUAAACCUCUUUCAGCAGGGAAGAAGCGCAAGUGACGGUACCUGCAGAAGAAGCACCGGCUAACUACGUGCCAGCAGCCGCGGUAAU
rnacentral:rRNA from 1 species